rnacentral:lncRNA from 1 species
GUGAUAUCAUUGUAUGUUUAUAACGUAUGUCACGGUCGUUUGUAAGAGGAAAGUUAUUAUACGCAUGCGCAGUGAAAUUACAUUUUUUGAAGGUUUUUUAAAAUGGCUACGGUAACAGGAUUUUAGAAACUAAUCAUUGACAACGAGUAAUUUGUUUAAUUUUAGAUAAUUAAAUAGGCUUUUAACUAGUUUUUUCAUGAAAUUAUUUUAAAAAUAGCUUGCAGCUGUACGAAGAAAUUUUAAAAAUAAAAUACAAGAUCUCUGAAUGUGAAUAAUAUCUACUUUCAACUAAAGCAACUUUAGUUUUUUUGUUUACAAUUUUUAAACCUUUUUUAAAAUAUUUUUGAGCGUAGAAAUUUUUUAAUUUAAAUUUAUUCAGCAAGAUGAACCUUUUAUCUAUUUUGUAUUUUUUGCUUAUAUGAGGAUUCAAUUUUUUUUGCAGGGUUAAAAGAAAAUCUUAAUCAUUAAACUUGUGUAACCUGUUGCUAUGGUGCUCUUUUCCGAUUAUUCCAACCAUAUUCGCGUUUCAACAAAGAAACUUGCCUGUUGUAAAGAAGGGAAAA